rnacentral:rRNA from 1 species
ACUCCUACGGGAGGCAGCAGUGGGGAAUCUUGGACAAUGGGCGCAAGCCUGAUCCAGCCAUGCCGCGUGAGUGAUGAAGGCCCUAGGGUCGUAAAGCUCUUUCGCCAGGGAUGAUAAUGACAGUACCUGGUAAAGAAACCCCGGCUAACUCCGUGCCAGCAGCCGCGGUAAUACGGAGGGGGUUAGGCGUUGUUCGGAAUUACUGGGGCGUAAAGCGCGCGUAGGCGGACUGGAAAGUUGGGGGUGAAAUCCCGGGGCUCAACCCCGGAACUGCCUCCAAAACUCCCAGUCUUGAGUUCGAGAGAGGUGAGUGGAAUUCCGAGUGUAGAGGUGAAAUUCGUAGAUAUUCGGAGGAACACCAGUGGCGAAGGCGGCUCACUGGCUCGAUACUGACGCUGAGGUGCGAAAGUGUGGGGGAGCAAACA